rnacentral:misc_RNA from 1 species
AACGCACAUUGCGCCCUCUGGUAUUCCGGGGGGCAUGCCUGUUCGAGCGUCAUUUUCACCCUCAAGCUCAGCUUGGUAUUAGGUGCUCAUCUUCUGCCCCCGGGUGGAGGGUGUACCUGAAAUUUAGCGGCGGUGCAGCCGAACUCCCUAGCGCAGUGACUUAUUACAACGCUACAAGGAGCUCUUUCGGUGUGUUCUAGCCGGACAACAACCAAAUUUUUUAAUGAUUGACCUCGGAUCAGGUAGGGAUACCCGCUGAACUUAA